AUGUUGUUUUUUUUUUCAAUUUUAUUGCAGGUUGCUUAUAGAAAAGAUGAUUCCAUCCCUGCUCCGACUACGACGAGCAUCACGACGGUAACCGCCUCUGAUGCGGGAAAAUUGCGACCACCUGUAGCUCCUCUGCACUGGAACAACCCCGACCAACUCCGCACCACCUUCACCGUGAACGACACCGACAGAUCUAUCGAUCCAACCCCACCGGUAAGUAGCUUUCAUUAUGUUUGUUUACGUACUGUUUUGAUGGAUUUUUAUAUGAAUUUUCAUGUUAGUUUUUUUUGGAGGAAUUUUGAAUGGGUGGGGAU